UUAUGGCUCAGGACGAACGCUGGCGGCGUGCUUAACACAUGCAAGUCGAGCGAGACCCUCUUCGGGAGGUGUCUAGCGGCGAACGGGUGAGUAACACGUGGGCAACCUGCCCUCAGCUCUGGGAUAACUCCAAGAAAUUGGGGCUAAUACCGGAUAUGACCGCUGACCGCAUGGUCUGGUGGUGGAAAGAUUUAUCGGCUGGGGAUGGGCCCGCGGCCUAUCAGCUUGUUGGUGGGGUAGUGGCCUACCAAGGCGACGACGGGUAGCCGGCCUGAGAGGGUGACCGGCCACACUGGGACUGAGACACGGCCCAGACUCCUACGGGAGGCAGCAGGGGGGAAUAUUGCGCAAUGGGCGGAAGCCUGACGCCAGCGACGCCGCGUGGGGGAUGACGGCCUUCGGGUUGUAAACCUCUUUCAGCAGGGACGAAGCGAAAGUGACGGUACCUGCAGAAGAAGCACCGGCCAACUACGUGCCAGCCGCCGC
rnacentral:rRNA from 1 species